AUUUUUAAUUGACAUAGACCAAGUCCUCUAGUAAAAUGAGGGCAUCGGGA
rnacentral:tRNA from 1 species